ACGCUCGACACCUACAGGAGGCAGCAGUCGGGAAUAUUGCGCAAUGGAGGAAACUCUGACGCAGUGACGCCGCGUAUAGGAAGAAGGUUUUCGGAUUGUAAACUAUUGUCGUUAGGGAAGAGAAAGGACAGUACCUAAGGAGGAAGCUCCGGCUAACUACGCGCCAGCAGCCGCGGUAAUCUGAGCGGGCUGGCAAGGC
rnacentral:rRNA from 1 species